AGAGUUUGAUCCUGGCUCAGGACGAACGCUGGCGGCGUGCUUAACACAUGCAAGUCGAGCGAUGAAACGCCUUCGGGUGUGAAUUAGCGGCGAACGGGUGAGGAACACGUGAAGAAUCUGCCUUCAACUCUGGGAUAACUCCGGGAAACCGGGGCUAAUACCGGAUAUGAGCCUCGAUCGCAUGAUUGGGGCUGGAAAGUUUUUCGGUUGAAGAUGACUUCGCGGCCUAUCAGCUUGUUGGUGAGGUAAUGGCUCACCAAGGCGACGACGGGUAGCCGGCCUGAGAGGGCGACCGGCCACACUGGGACUGAGACACGGCCCAGACUCCUACGGGAGGCAGCAGUGGGGAAUAUUGGGCAAUGGAGGAAACUCUGACCCAGCGACGCCCGCGUGCGGGAUGAAGGCCUUCGGGUUGUACAACCUCUUUCAGUAGGGAAGAAGCGAACGUGACGGUCCCUACCGAAAGAAGCACCGGCUAACUAUGUGCCAGCAGCCCGCGGUAAUACAUAGGGUGCAAGCGUUGUCCGGAACUUAUUUGGGCGUAAAGAGCUCGUAGGUGGUUCGAUACGUCGGAUGUGAAAAUCANGGGCUCAAACCCCUGACCUGCAUCCGAUACGGUCGAGCUAUAGUUUUGGUAGGGGAGACUGGUAUUCCUGGUGUAGCGGUGGAAUGCGCAGAUAUCAAGAGGAACACCGAUGGCGAAGGCAGGUCUCUGGGCCAUUACUGACACUGAGAAGCGAAAGCGUGGGAAGCGACAGGAAUAAGAAUACCCUGGUAGUCCACGCCGUAAACGUGGCGCUAAUGGUGCGAACCUUCCCNNUUUGUGCGACGCACCUAACCAAUUAAGCGCCCCGCCUGGGGAGUACGAUC
rnacentral:rRNA from 1 species